rnacentral:rRNA from 1 species
UACGUAGGGUGCAAGCGUUAAUCGGAAUCACUGGGCGUAAAGCGCACGUAGGCGGGUCCUUAAGUCGGGGGUGAAAUCCUGGAGCUCAACUCCAGAACUGCCUUCGAUACUGGGGAUCUCGAGUCCGGGAGAGGUGAGUGGAACUCCGAGUGUAGAGGUGAAAUUCGUAGAUAUUCGGAAGAACACCAGUGGCGAAGGCGGCUCACUGGCCCGGUACUGACGCUGAGGUGCGAAAGCGUGGGGAGCAAACAGG